rnacentral:rRNA from 1 species
CAGCAGCCGCGGUAAUACCGGCGGCCCGAGUGGCGGUCACUAUUAUUGGGCUUAAAGCGUCCGUAGCCGGGUUGGGAAGUCCUCCGGGAAAUCUGGCCGCUUAACGGUCAGAAUGCCGGAGGAUACUCCCAGCCUAGGGGGCGGGAGAGGCCGAGGGGAUUCCCGGGGUGGGGGUGAAAUCCUAUAAUCCCGGGAGGACCACCUGUGGCGAAGGCGCUCGGCUGGAACGCGUCCGACGGUGAGGGACGAAGGCCAGGGGAGCAAACCGGAUUAGAUACCCGGGUAGUCCUGGCUGUAAACGAUGCGGACUUUGUGUCGGACAAGCUAUGAGCUUGUCCGGUGCCGGAGGGAAACCGUUAAGUCCGCCGCCUGGGGAGUACGGCCGCAAGGUUGAAACUUAAAGGAAUUGGCGGG